rnacentral:rRNA from 1 species
UACAGAGGGUGCGAGCGUUACUCGGAAUUACUGGGCGUAAAGCGCGCGUAGGCGGCUUUGCAAGUCGGGUGUGAAAUCCCCAGGCUUAACCUGGGAACUGCAUUCGAGACUGCAUUGCUAGAGUAUGGGAGAGGGAAGUGGAAUUUCCGGUGUAGCGGUGAAAUGCGUAGAUAUCGGAAGGGACAACAGUGACGAAAGCGACUUCCUGGACCAAUACUGACGCUCAUGUGCGAAAGCGUGGGGAGCAAACAGG